GAGGGGAGUGAAAAAGAACCUGAAACCGUGUACGUACAAGCAGUGGGAGCCCCACCACCAAAGCAUUCUCUGGUGUUGAAGGCCCUGCAAAGCAGCAUCGCGGUGGCGGAGCGUCGUUUGCGACGCCCAACACACAAAACAAGCGGUGAGUGCUUUGGGGUGGGGUGACUGCGUACCUUUUGUAUAAUGGGUCAGCGACUUAUAUUCUGUAGCAAGGUUAACCGUAUAGGGGAGCCGGAGGGAAACCGAGUCUUAAUUGGGCGUUAAGUUGCAGGGUAUAGACCCGAAACCCGGUGAUCUAGCCAUGGGCAGGUUGAAGGUUGGGUAACACUAACUGGAGGACCGAACCGACUAAUGUUGAAAAAUUAGCGGAUGACCUGUGGCUGGGGGUGAAAGGCCAAUCAAACCGGGAGAUAGCUGGUUCUCCCCGAAAGCUAUUUAGGUAGCGCCUCGUGAAUUCAUCUCCGGGGGUAGAGCACUGUUUCGGCUAGGGGGUCAUCCCGACUUACCAACCCGAUGCAAACUGCGAAUACCGGAGAAUGUUAUCACGGGAGACACACGGCGGGUGCUAACGUCCGUCGUGAAGAGGGAAACAACCCAGACCGCCAGCUAAGGUCCCAAAGUCAUGGUUAAGUGGGAAACGAUGUGGGAAGGCCCAGACAGCCAGGAUGUUGGCUUAGAAGCAGCCAUCAUUUAAAGAAAGCGUAAUAGCUCACUGGUCGAGUCGGCCUGCGCGGAAGAUGUAACGGGGCUAAACCAUGCACCGAAGCUGCGGCAGCGACACUCAGGUGUUGUUGGGUAGGGGAGCGUUCUGUAAGCCUGCGAAGGUGGCCUGUGAGGGUUGCUGGAGGUAUCAGAAGUGCGAAUGCUGACAUAAGUAACGAUAAAGCGGGUGAAAAGCCCGCUCGCCGGAAGACCAAGGGUUCCUGUCCAACGUUAAUCGGGGCAGGGUGAGUCGACCCCUAAGGCGAGGCCGAAAGGCGUAGUCGAUGGGAAACGGGUUAAUAUUCCCGUACUUGGUGUUACUGCGAAGGGGGGACGGAGAAGGCUAUGUUGGCCGGGCGACGGUUGUCCCGGUUUAAGCGUGUAGGUGUGUGUUCCAGGUAAAUCCGGUUCACUUUAACACUGAGGCGUGAUGACGAGGCACUACGGUGCUGAAGCAACAAAUGCCCUGCUUCCAGGAAAAGCCUCUAAGCAUCAGGUAACAUCAAAUCGUACCCCAAACCGACACAGGUGGUCAGGUAGAGAAUACCAAGGCGCUUGAGAGAACUCGGGUGAAGGAACUAGGCAAAAUGGUGCCGUAACUUCGGGAGAAGGCACGCUGACACGUAGGUGAAGUGAUUUACUCAUGGAGCUGAAGUCAGUCGAAGAUACCAGCUGGCUGCAACUGUUUAUUAAAAACACAGCACUGUGCAAACACGAAAGUGGACGUAUACGGUGUGACGCCUGCCCGGUGCCGGAAGGUUAAUUGAUGGGGUCAGCGCAAGCGAAGCUCCUGAUCGAAGCCCCGGUAAACGGCGGCCGUAACUAUAACGGUCCUAAGGUAGCGAAAUUCCUUGUCGGGUAAGUUCCGACCUGCACGAAUGGCGUAAUGAUGGCCAGGCUGUCUCCACCCGAGACUCAGUGAAAUUGAACUCGCUGUGAAGAUGCAGUGUACCCGCGGCAAGACGGAAAGACCCCGUGAACCUUUACUAUAGCUUGACACUGAACAUUGAGCCUUGAUGUGUAGGAUAGGUGGGAGGCUUUGAAGUGUGGACGCCAGUCUGCAUGGAGCCGACCUUGAAAUACCACCCUUUAAUGUUUGAUGUUCUAACGUGGACCCGUGAUCCGGGUUGCGGACAGUGUCUGGUGGGUAGUUUGACUGGGGCGGUCUCCUCCUAAAGAGUAACGGAGGAGCACGAAGGUUGGCUAAUCCUGGUCGGACAUCAGGAGGUUAGUGCAAUGGCAUAAGCCAGCUUGACUGCGAGCGUGACGGCGCGAGCAGGUGCGAAAGCAGGUCAUAGUGAUCCGGUGGUUCUGAAUGGAAGGGCCAUCGCUCAACGGAUAAAAGGUACUCCGGGGAUAACAGGCUGAUACCGCCCAAGAGUUCAUAUCGACGGCGGUGUUUGGCACCUCGAUGUCGGCUCAUCACAUCCUGGGGCUGAAGUAGGUCCCAAGGGUAUGGCUGUUCGCCAUUUAAAGUGGUACGCGAGCUGGGUUUAGAACGUCGUGAGACAGUUCGGUCCCUAUCUGCCGUGGGCGCUGGAGAACUGAGGGGGGCUGCUCCUAGUACGAGAGGACCGGAGUGGACGCAUCACUGGUGUUCGGGUUGUCAUGCCAAUGGCACUGCCCGGUAGCUAAAUGCGGAAGAGAUAAGUGCUGAAAGCAUCUAAGCACGAAACUUGCCCCGAG
rnacentral:rRNA from 1 species